rnacentral:rRNA from 1 species
UACGUAGGGUGCGAGCGUUGUCCGGAAUUAUUGGGCGUAAAGAGCUCGUAGGCGGUGUGUCGCGUCGGCCGUGAAAACCUGGGGCUCAACUCUGGGCGUGCGGUCGAUACGGGCAUCACUUGAGUUCGGCAGGGGGAGACUGGAAUUCCUGGUGUAGCGGUGAAAUGCGCAGAUAUCAGGAAGAACACCAAUGGCGAAGGCAGCUCUCUGGGACGGUAC